UAUAGAAAUGCUAUUUUAACUUUGUUCAUAUAGCCUUUAUCCCGAUACUUGCAAAGAGCCAACAGCAUGUCACGUAUUUAUAACACUCUGCAAUCCGGUCCCAGCCCGGCCCCGGUGCCGCCCCGCACCGCCGGGCCCGGGAGCCCCCCCCACCCCCAGCGAGCGCGGGCCGGACCCGGAGCCGAAGGGCCGGACCCGGCGCCGGGUGCAGCCCCGGUUCGGCCCCGGGAAAGGGAACCGGCCCGCGAGCGAUGGUCCCGCCCCAGCCCCGGCAGGACGGGGUGCCGGGGCGGUACCGGGCGCUGAUUCAGGGGUGGUACCGGAGGCGGUACCGGGCGGUGAUCAGGGGCGGUACCGGGGGCGGUACCGGGCGGUGAUCAGGGGCGGUACCGGGGGCGGGGCUCCGGGAACGCAGCGAGCGUCAAGGCGCUGGGCCGAACGGAGCCGAGCUCAGCCGAACGCAGGGAGAGCUCGGCUCGGUUCGGCGGAGCUCGGCUCGGUUCGGAUGAGCACCCCACAUAUCCAGGGCUGCCUGCAGCCAGGGAAAGCACCUUCCUCUCCUGAUCGCCAAACUGUCCUAAAAACACCGUGACAGAGGCCAGAUGGUCCAUGCAGGGACAGUGUCUCUUCCCUUUAGGGUAAACUCAUGUGAUUAAAGAGCUCCUGGCCUGAGCAGGU
rnacentral:lncRNA from 12 species